rnacentral:tRNA from 1 species
GGGAAUGUAGCUCAGUGGCAUAAGCGCCUGCCUUGCAAGCAGGCAGUUGUGAGUUCGAUCCCCGGUACCG